rnacentral:rRNA from 1 species
CAGCAUGGUCUUAGCUUGCUAAGACUGAUGGCGACCGGCGCACGGGUGCGUAACGCGUAUGCAACUUGCCUCACAGAGGGGGAUAACCCGUCGAAAGACGGACUAAUACCGCGUACACUUGGGAUAGGGCAUCCUGACCCAAGGAAAUGAAAUUCGCUGUGAGAUAGGCAUGCGUCCCAUUAGCUAGUUGGUGAGGUAACGGCUCACCAAGGCGACGAUGGGUAGGGGAACUGAGAGGUUGAACCCCCACACUGGUACUGAGACACGGACCAGACUCCUACGGGAGGCAGCAGUUAGGAAUAUUGGUCAAUGGGCGAGAGCUUGAACCAGCCAAGUCGCGUGAAGGAUGACUGUCUUAUGGAUUGUAAACUUCUUUUAUACGGGAAUAACAAGAGUCACGUGUGACUCCCUGCAUGUACCGUAUGAAUAAGCAUCGGCUAACUCCGUGCCAGCAGCCGCGGUAAUACGGAGGAUGCGAGCGUUAUCCGGAUUUAUUGGGUUUAAAGGGUGCGUAGGCGGCCUGUUAAGUCAGCGGUGAAAUCUAGGAGCUUAACUCCUAAAUUGCCAUUGAAACUGGCGGGCUUGAGUGUAGAUGAGGUAGGCGGAAUGCGUGGUGUAGCGGUGGAAUGCAUAGAUAUCACGCAGAACUCCGAUUGCGAAGGCAGCUUACUAAGGUACAACUGACGCUGAAGCACGAAAGCGUGGGUAUCAAACAGGAUUAGAUACCCUGGUAGUCCACGCAGUAAACGAUGAUAACUGGGCGUAUGCGAUAUACAGUAUGCUCCUAAGCGAAAGCGU